rnacentral:rRNA from 1 species
GACGAACGCUGGCGGCGUGCUUAACACAUGCAAGUCGAACGGAAAGGCCCUGCUUUUGUGGGGUGCUCGAGUGGCGAACGGGUGAGUAACACGUGAGUAACCUGCCCUUGACUUUGGGAUAACUUCAGGAAACUGGGGCUAAUACCGGAUAGGAGCUCCUGCUGCAUGGUGGGGGUUGGAAAGUUUCGGCGGUUGGGGAUGGACUCGCGGCUUAUCAGCUUGUUGGUGGGGUAGUGGCUUACCAAGGCUUUGACGGGUAGCCGGCCUGAGAGGGUGACCGGCCACAUUGGGACUGAGAUACGGCCCAGACUCCUACGGGAGGCAGCAGUGGGGAAUAUUGCACAAUGGGCGGAAGCCUGAUGCAGCAACGCCGCGUGCGGGAUGACGGCCUUCGGGUUGUAAACCGCUUUCGCCUGUGACGAAGCGUGAGUGACGGUAAUGGGUAAAGAAGCACCGGCUAACUACGUGCCAGCAGCCGCGGUGAUACGUAGGGUGCGAGCGUUGUCCGGAUUUAUUGGGCGUAAGGGCUCGUAGGUGGUUGAUCGCGUCGGAAGUGUAAUCUUGGGGCUUAACCCUGAGCGUGCUUUCGAUACGGGUUGACUUGAGGAAGGUAGGGGAGAAUGGAAUUCCUGGUGGAGCGGUGGAAUGCGCAGAUAUCAGGAGGAACACCAGUGGCGAAGGCGGUUCUCUGGGCCUUUCCUGACGCUGAGGAGCGAAAGCGUGGGGAGCGAACAGGCUUAGAUACCCUGGUAGUCCACGCUGUAAACGGUGGGUACUAGGUGUGGGGUCCAUUCCACGGGUUCCGUGCCGUAGCUAACGCUUUAAGUACCCCGCCUGGGGAGUACGGCCGCAAGGCUAAAACUCAAAGGAAUUGACGGGGCCCCGCACAAGCGGCGGAGCAUGCGGAUUAAUUCGAUGCAACGCGUAGAACCUUACCUGGGUUUGACAUGGAUCGGGAGUGCUCAGAGAUGGGUGUGCCUCUUUUGGGGUCGGUUCACAGGUGGUGCAUGGCUGUCGUCAGCUCGUGUCGUGAGAUGUUGGGUUAAGUCCCGCAACGAGCGCAACCCUUGUUCACUGUUGCCAGCACGUUAUGGUGGGGACUCAGUGGAGACCGCCGGGGUCAACUCGGAGGAAGGUGGGGAUGACGUCAAGUCGUCAUGCCCCUUAUGUCCAGGGCUUCACGCAUGCUACAAUGGCUGGUACAGAGAGUGGCGAGCCUGUGAGGGUGAGCGAAUCUCGGAAAGCCGGUCUCAGUUCGGAUUGGGGUCUGCAACUCGACCUCAUGAAGUCGGAGUCGCUAGUAAUCGCAGAUCAGCAACGCUGCGGUGAAUACGUUCCCGGGGCU